rnacentral:misc_RNA from 1 species
GAUGAAGAACGUAGCGAAAUGCGAUACGUAAUGUGAAUUGCAGAAUUCAGUGAAUCAUCGAGUCUUUGAACGCACAUUGCGCCCCCUGGUAUUCCGGGGGGCAUGCCUGUCCGAGCGUCAUUGCUGCCCUCAAGCACGGCUUGUGUGUUGGGGCUCCGUCCUCCUCCCGGGGGACGGGCCCGAAAGGCAGCGGCGGCACCGCGUCCGGUCCUCGAGCGUAUGGGGCUUCGUCACCCGCUCUUGUAGGCCCGGCCGGCGCUUGCCGACACAUCAAUCUUUUUUCCAGGUUGACCUCGGAUCAGGUAGGGAUACCCGCUGAACUUAAGCAUAUCAAUAAGCGGAGGA